GAUGAACUCUGGCGGCGUGCCUAAUACAUGCAAGUCGAGCGAACGGACGGGAAGCUUUCUUCUCUGAUGUUAGCGGCGGACGGGUGAGUAACACGUGGAUAACCUACCUAUAAGACUGGGAUAACUUCGGGAAACCGGAGCUAAUACCGGAUAAUAUUUUCAACCGCAUGGUCAAAAAGUUAAGGACGUCUUGCCAUCCCCUGUUAGCUGAUCCGCCGCGGCAUUAGCUAGUGGGUAAGGUAACGGCUUACCAAGGCGACGAUGCAUAGCCGACCUGAGAGGGUGAUCGGCCACACUGGAACUGAGACACGGUCCAGACUCCUACGGGAGGCAGCAGUAGGGAAUCUUCCGCAAUGGGCGAAAGCCUGACGGAGCAACGCCGCGUGAGUGAUGAAGGUCUUCGGAUCGUAAAACUCUGUUAUUAGGGAAGAACAUAUGUGUAUGUAACUGUGCACAUAUUGACGGUACCUAAUCAGAAAGCCACGGCUAACUACGUG
rnacentral:rRNA from 1 species